ensembl:lncRNA
UUGAACUAAUUGUUAUCAGCCUUUCUGAAACCGAAUAUUCCGAGUUGGACAGUUCGGGGUUACUCAAUCCUGAGUAUCAUUUUUAACUCUGAGUUUUCCCUGUUUCAGAAAGCCGGUUUAGUGCAAACUCUGAGGCCCUGGUCCUGCACUGGUGUCUAUCAGCUUAAUGACUUGCAGAGAGAGGGACUGUGGAAACUCAGCCUGUUCAGAGGUUAUGGAGUUUUCCAAAAAGCCAGCAGCACAUAGCCCGGUGGCGAUGACACUUGGUCCCUGAGAUGGACUAGGUAUACAGGGAGUACCUCGCCCAGUAACAGCAGCAGCAGGACAAGCAGUGGAUGGAUGGAUGGAUGGAUGGAUGGAUGGACGAACAGACCAGAUGGUGCAAAGGACCUUACUAUGGAGGUAAGAGUUAAUAUGCCAGGCUAAACCUACAAGUCGCUGGUCUUGUCUUAAAAUACUGCUUCUGGUUCUCUUUAGUUUAUUUUUGGCCACAAGAUGUGUUACUGCAGUAGUCUAAUGGGCC